CCAUGCCGUAAACGAUGAUUACUAAGCGUCGGGGGUCGAACCUCGGCACUCAAGCUAACGCGAUAAGUAAUCCGCCUGGGGAGUACGUACGCAAGUAUGAAACUCAAAGGAAUUGACGGGGACCCGCACAAGUGGUGGAGCAUGUGGUUUAAUUCGACGCAACGCGAGGAACCUUACCAGCGUUUGACAUCCUAGAAACUGGGCAGAGAUGCGCAGGUGCUCUUUCGGGAGAAUCUAGUGACAGGUGGUGCAUGGCUGU
rnacentral:rRNA from 1 species